rnacentral:rRNA from 1 species
AACGAACGCUGGCGGCAUGCCUAAUACAUGCAAGUCGAACGAGAUCUUCGGAUCUAGUGGCGCACGGGUGCGUAACGCGUGGGAAUCUACCCUUGGGUUCGGAAUAACAGUUAGAAAUGACUGCUAAUACCGGAUGAUGACGUAAGUCCAAAGAUUUAUCGCCCAAGGAUGAGCCCGCGUAGGAUUAGCUAGUUGGUGGGGUAAAGGCCUACCAAGGCUACGAUCCUUAGCUGGUCUGAGAGGAUGAUCAGCCACGCUGGGACUGAGACACGGCCCAGACUCCUACGGGAGGCAGCAGUAGGGAAUAUUGGACAAUGGGGGAAACCCUGAUCCAGCAAUGCCGCGUGAGCGAUGAAGGCCUUAGGGUUGUAAAGCUCUUUUACCCGGGAUGAUAAUGACAGUACCGGGAGAAUAAGCCCCGGCUAACUCCGUGCCAGCAGCCGCAGUAA